AUUGCCCUAGUAACGGCGAGUGAAGCGGCAACAGCUCAAAUUUGAAAUCUGGCCCUCGGGUCCGAAUUGUAAUUUGUAGAGGAUGCUUUUGGUGCGGUGCCUUCCGAGUUCCCUGGAACGGGACGCCAUAGAGGGUGAGAGCCCCGUCUGGUUGGACACCAAGCCUCUGUAAAGCUCCUUCGACGAGUCGAGUAGUUUGGGAAUGCUGCUCUAAAUGGGAGGUAUAUGUCUUCUAAAGCUAAAUACUGGCCAGAGACCGAUAGCGCACAAGUAGAGUGAUCGAAAGAUGAAAAGCACUUUGAAAAGAGAGUUAAAAAGCACGUGAAAUUGUUGAAAGGGAAGCGUUUAUGACCAGACUUGGACUUGGUUGAUCAUCCGGCGUUCUCGCCGGUGCACUCUUCCAGUUCAGGCCAGCAUCAGUUCGCUGCGGGGGAUAAAGGCUUCGGGAAUGUGGCUCCCUCCGGGGAGUGUUAUAGCCCGUUGCGUAAUACCCUGUGGUGGACUGAGGUUCGCGCAUCUGCAAGGAUGCUGGCGUAAUGGUCAUCAACGACCCGUCUUGAAACACGGACCAAGGAGUCGUCUUCGUAUGCGAGUGUUCGGGUGUCAAACCCCUACGCGUAAUGAAAGUGAACGCAGGUGAGAGCUUCGGCGCAUCAUCGACCGAUCCUGAUGUUCUCGGAUGGAUUUGAGUAAGAGCAUACGGGGCCGGACCCGAAAGAAGGUGAACUAUGCCUGUAUAGGGUGAAGCCAGAGGAAACUCUGGUGGAGGCUCGCAGCGGUUCUGACGUGCAAAUCGAUCGUCAAAUAUGGGCAUGGGGGCGAAAGACUAAU
rnacentral:rRNA from 1 species